GCAGGAUGAAGCGAAAGUAAAAUUUCGUGGAGGUCCGAACCCACGAGCGUUGAAAAGCUCGGGGAUGACUUGUGGGUAGCGGUGAAAUUCCAAUCGGGCCCGGAGAUAGCUGGUUCUCCCCGAAAUAGCUUUAGGGCUAGCCUCAAGGUGAGAGAUACGGAGGUAGAGCACUGAAUGUCCUAGGGGGUAUUGCACCUACCGAAGACUAUCAAACUCCGAAUGCC
rnacentral:rRNA from 1 species